CCUGAGCCCCCCCCCCCCACACACACCCCGAGAGUAACCUAAAACAGUGGUUCUCAGCCUUGGCUGCACAAUGGAAUCUCCUGAAGAGUUUUAGAAAACCUGAUGCCUGAGACCCAUCCUGAGUUUCUGAUUUAUGGAGUCUGGGUUGCAGCUGGGCACUGGAAUAAAAGCUCUCCUGAUGAUCCAAUGUGUAGCCAAGCCUGAGAACUACAGAUCUAAAAGAUUAGGGCAAUCAGGUUCAAGAGCAAUGAUUAAAGAGCUGAGUCUGGAUAUCCCAGAGGAAGGAAGGUGACAAAUGAUCUUCAGUGUGUCCCAUCGACUUUCCAUUAUCCAUACUAAUUGAAAGGAAAACUGUCACGAACAACGGUCAGAUCUUAAAUUUGAAAGUUCCUUUAUAGUUUGCAAUGCAUUUGAUCUUAUUUUAACCUCACCACAAGCCCGGGAGGUAGACAGCAUAGCUAUGCUUAUCUGAUAGACGAGGAAGAGGAGCCUCAGAGAAGUGAGUGAUUUGCAAAGAUGUAAGGGGAAAACCAUUUUGUGAGAACUAUAACCCAGAAUUUCCAGCAGCCCCAAAGUCCCCACAAUUUUAUCUGCACUGUUAAACUCCCCUCCAGCCCCCGAGGCAAGGCAAAAUCUGUUUAUGAGUAAAAGAUAGGAAACCUUUUAAGAGCAGAUGGAGUGGUAGAGAGAAAACCAACCAAAAUGAAAAGUUCCUCAGCAGAUGAGGAAGGAUGUCCCACGGCUUCAUCCAGGGAUUAUGAGAAGUGUUGCUGCUUUAUUUCAUUCACCACCUACUAUGUGCCAGGCAUAUUUUGGGAGAUACACACUCAAGUCAGGCAUGCACCCUGGCCUCAUAGAACUUCAUCCACUGAAUGAUAUGGAUACAUCAUAAAAGCUUUAGUGUUCAUCCACAGCUCCACGGGGUCCCAGCCCUCCAAGCUGGUGUCCACAUGCACCCAUCUGUUCAGCACGUUUGUAAAGUGCCUACCUGCACCCAGAAGGUAGAGCCUGAGAGAUGAAAGACCUGGUUCCUGCGCUUAAGGAUUUCACAGAGUAUUGGAGGCAGCGGAAUGGCUCAGAAGGGGAAGCAGUGAACAGAAACACCACAUACACUUACAUCCCUGUGUGAUAAGUACAGCGAUCAGGAUCUGGGGGGCUGUACUGAGAGGAUGUAAGGCUCUAUAACACCGAGGAGCAGUGACACAACGGAAGGAUCCGUGGCUUCCAGGUCUAGGCAGGCCACUUGCCUACAGCCUGAGACAAAACAUAAUACACCUCACCCAAUGGUCAAGAUCAACUGGAGAUAAAGGGAGUAAACUGCAAAGGACCAUUCAAAUGUUAAUAAAGGAAUUUGCUUGAAGACAGAGCCAUUUCCAUCCUUAGCAAUAUCGAUGCACUGGCUUAUUUGGAUAAAAGAUGUAUUCCUCCCGUCCCUUGUGCACAUUAGGGUGGUUUCUUUGCCUGGUACCUAGAUUUCUUUUUACUAAGGACAGGCUAACCUCAACUAGAUCCCCUCCGUCCUGUGUUCUGGAGCCUGGACCACUUGGCGAGAGCCGAGCAGAGGCCCCCAGUCCGGAGCAGGGACCAGAAGUAGAUGCUAAAGCUGUUAACUUCAGGACUCAGCUACACAGAGACCGACAGCUUGUUCCCAGCAUGGAAUUCUCCCCACACCAAAUCCUAGCUGGGAGGGGAGACUGGGCUGGAGAACUUCCAAGUUUGACUGCAGGGCUUUGGGCAUGUUGCAUUUGUUCCGGCAAGGGAAUUAUAACUGGAACGCAAUACAAUCAAAUGUGCUAGAAAACACUCCAACUUCUGCUGGCUUGUGAAUGCCUUUCACACGAAUAUAAAAACUCUCAGACAUUUUUAGAAACUUUAAAAAAUCAUUCUGUUAUUUUUGCCUUGAAUACGGUAAAGUCAUGAUUUUUAGUCAAUGUUUUUAUUUUUAGAUUAACACCUGACUAAAUAGAAUCAUGUUAAUUUAAUACUCUAUGCAAUAACACUCGUAAAAAGGAACAGAUGCCAAUUUCCCCAUUUAACAAAUGAUGUGAGGUGUUAAAUUGUUUUAAAAUAACUGUCUAAAAAUGAUUUGUCGAUAAAUAAAUUUUGAAAUAACAUUUUGUGUUAUGUUGGGGAGCCAUAUGAAUAUUAAGACAGACCAAAAUUUCACUACAUGUUGAAUAAUGGCAAUGAAAACUAUUUUUAUUACCUACUAUUAGAAUUCUUGAGAUUUCCCCCGAGUUAUUUUGAUACAUUUUAGUGUAUGGCAAGAAAAGAGGAGGCUUUAAGGUUGCUAUUUGCAAACAUGUCUCAAAAAAUAAAGCACACAGACAUGGAGAGCAUUUUCAUCAAAUGAAAAGUCAAA